GUUCUCCAACGGCAGUAGAAACAGUUCGAUUCUACAUUUCGAGUACUUCCGAUUUUUGAUAUGGCUAAAUAUCUGUUGAAUAUAUUCCUGAUCGUGGGGAUCAUUGCGAUCAUGAGCAUCGCAUUAUCAACUCAAAGCAAGAUUUUACCGUGCACUGACGAUCACGACUGCACGCCUGCGCUCUGCAAACAGAGCUAUGGCAAAUGGUACAAAGAAACUCACACUCCAAAGUGCUUAUAUGGCCAAUGGGGAUUGUAUUGUGACUGUGGGACUGACUUGCCUGAGGGAAUUCAAUAAAAUUGGAUGCAUUUGUACAAAAAAUCAUUCCAGGAUAUCGUCAAUUUAAUUUUUGAUUGUUUCAUGGAUUUGUCAAGUUCGAAAAAAUAAAUAAUCUGAAAGGAUUCCGUACCACAUAAA